UACGUAGGGUGCAAGCGUUGUCCGGAAUUAUUGGGCGUAAAGAGCUCGUAGGCGGUCUGUCGCGUCGGAUGUGAAAAUCCAGGGCUCAACCCUAGACCUGCAUUCGAUACGGGCAGACUAGAGUUCGGUAGGGGAGACUGGAAUUCCUGGUGUAGCGGUGAAAUGCGCAGAUAUCAGGAGGAACACCGGUGGCGAAGGCGGGUCUCUGGGCCGAUACUGACGCUGAGGAGCGAAAGCGUGGGGAGCGAACAGG
rnacentral:rRNA from 1 species